UACGAAGGGGGCUAGCGUUGCUCGGAAUCACUGGGCGUAAAGCGCACGUAGGCGGCUUCUUAAGUCAGGGGUGAAAUCCUGGAGCUCAACUCCAGAACUGCCUUUGAUACUGAGGAGCUUGAGUCCGGGAGAGGUGAGUGGAACUGCGAGUGUAGAGGUGAAAUUCGUAGAUAUUCGCAAGAACACCAGUGGCGAAGGCGGCUCACUGGCCCGGUACUGACGCUGAAGCGCGAAAGCGUGGGGAGCAAACGGG
rnacentral:rRNA from 1 species